UACGUAUGUCGCGAGCGUUAUCCGGAAUUAUUGGGCAUAAAGGGCAUCUAGGCGGCCGGAUAAGUCUGGGGUGAAAACUUGCGGCUCAACCGCAAGCCUGCCCUGGAAACUAUGCGGCUAGAGUACUGGAGAGGUGGACGGAACUGCACGAGUAGAGGUGAAAUGCGUAGAUAUGUGGAGGAAUGCCGAUGAUGAAGAUAGUUCACUGGACGGUAACUGACGCUGAAGUGCGAAAGCGAGGGGAGCAAACAGG
rnacentral:rRNA from 1 species